rnacentral:rRNA from 1 species
AACGAUGAAGCGGUGCUUGCACCGUGGAUUAGUGGCGAACGGGUGAGUAACACGUGAGUAACCUGCCUUCCACUCUGGGAUAAGCGCUGGAAACGGCGUCUAAUACUGGAUAUGACAUNNCCCUGCAUGGGGUGGUGUGGAAAGAUUUAGUUCGGUGGUAGAUGGACUCGCGGCCUAUCAGCUUGUUGGUGGGGUAAUGGCCUACCAAGGCGACGACGGGUAGCCGGCCUGAGAGGGUGACCGGCCACACUGGGACUGAGACACGGCCCAGACUCCUACGGGAGGCAGCAGUGGGGAAUAUUGCACAAUGGGCGAAAGCCUGAUGCAGCGACGCCGCGUGAGGGAUGACGGCCUUCGGGUUGUAAACCUCUUUCAGCCUUGACGAAGCCCCUUUUGGGGGUGACGGUAGGGGCAGAAGAAGCACCGGCUAACUACGUGCCAGCAGCCGCGGUAAUACGUAGGGUGCGAGCGUUGUCCGGAAUUAUUGGGCGUAAAGAGCUUGUAGGCGGCUUGUCGCGUCUGCUGUGAAAGCCCGGGGCUUAACCCCGGGUCUGCAGUGGGUACGGGCAGGCUAGAGUGUGGUAGGGGAGACUGGAAUUCCUGGUGUAGCGGUGGAAUGCGCAGAUAUCAGGAGGAACACCGAUGGCGAANGCAGGUCUCUGGGCCACUACUGACGC